CCUACGGGUGGCAGCAGUGAGGAAUAUUGGUCAAUGGGCGCGCGCCUGAACCAGCCAAGUCGCGUGAGGGAAGACGGUCCUAUGGAUUGUACACCUCUUUUGUCGGGGAGCAAAAGACGCCACGUGUGGCGUUCUGAGAGUACCCGAAGAAAAAGCAUCGGCUAACUCCGUGCCAGCAGCCGCGGUAAUAAUGAGGAUGCGAGCGUUAUCCGGAUUUAUUGGGUUUAAAGGGUGCGCAGGAGGAAGAUCAAGUCAGCGGUAAAAUUGAGUGGCUCAACCUCUUCGAGCCGUUGAAACUGGUUUUCUUGAGUGAGCGAGAAGUAUGCGGAAUGCGUGGUGUAGCGGUGAAAUGCAUAGAUAGCACGCAGAACUCCGAUUGCGAAGGCAGCAUACCGGCGCGCAACUGACGCUCAUGCACGAAAGUGUGGGUAUCGAACAGGAUUAGAUACCCUUGUAGUC
rnacentral:rRNA from 1 species